UACGUAGGGGGCAAGCGUUGUCCGGAAUCAUUGGGCGUAAAGAGCGUGUAGGCGGCUCGAUAAGUCUGCUGUGAAAGUCCAGGGCUCAACCCUGGAAGGCCGGUGGAAACUGUCGGGCUAGAGUCCGGAAGAGGCGACUGGAAUUCUCGGUGUAGCAGUGAAAUGCGUAGAUAUCGAGAGGAACACCAGUGGCGAAGGCGAGUCUCUGGACGACUCCUGACACUGAGGCACGAAAGCUGGGGGAGCAAACAGG
rnacentral:rRNA from 1 species